rnacentral:rRNA from 1 species
UACGUAGGGGGCUAGCGUUGUCCGGAAUCAUUGGGCGUAAAGCGCGUGUAGGCAGCUUCGCAAGUCGGGUGUGAAAGCCCUGGGCUCAACCUAGGAAGUGCACUCGAAACUGCAGAGCUUGAAUACCGGAGAGGAUGGCGGAAUUCCCCAAGUAGAGGUGAAAUUCGUAGAUAUGGGGAGGAACACCGGUGGCGAAGGCGGCCAUCUGGACGGCUAUUGACGCUGAGACGCGAAAGCGUGGGGAGCAAACAGGG